GUUGUUUUGGCAGAUUAGUGCAAUAAAUUUAGAAUUUAUUUAUGUAAUAUUUACAGGCAAUA
rnacentral:tRNA from 1 species